GCCCUUAUAGUUUAAUUGGAUAAAACAGGUCCCUCCUAAGGACCAGCUCCAGGUUCAACUCCUGGUGAGGGCA
rnacentral:tRNA from 1 species